AACGCUAGCUACAGGCUUAACACAUGCAAGUCGCGGGGCAGCAUGAAUUUAGCUUGCUAAAUUUGAUGGCGACCGGCGCACGGGUGAGUAACGCGUAUCCAACCUUCCCCUGUCCACGGGAUAGCCCGUCGAAAGGCGGAUUAAUACCGUAUGAGGUCACACGAUGGCAUCAGACUGUGACGAAAGGUUUAGCGGACAGGGAUGGGGAUGCGUCCGAUUAGCUUGUUGGCGGGGUAACGGCCCACCAAGGCAACGAUCGGUAGGGGUUCUGAGAGGAAGGUCCCCCACAUUGGAACUGAGACACGGUCCAAACUCCUACGGGAGGCAGCAGUGAGGAAUAUUGGUCAAUGGGCGAGAGCCUGAACCAGCCAAGUAGCGUGCAGGAUGACGGCCCUAUGGGUUGUAAACUGCUUUUAUGCGGGGAUAACGUGCACCACGUGUGGUGUAUUGUAGGUACCGCAUGAAUAAGGACCGGCUAAUUCCGUGCCAGCAGCCGCGGUAAUACGGAAGGUCCGGGCGUUAUCCGGAUUUAUUGGGUUUAAAGGGAGCGUAGGCCGCUGUUUAAGCGUGUUGUGAAAAACCGGGGCUCAACUCCGGUCGUGCAGCGCGAACUGGACGGCUUGAGUGCGCGGUAAGUGGGCGGAAUUUGUGGUGUAGCGGUGAAAUGCUUAGAUAUCACGAAGAACUCCGAUUG
rnacentral:rRNA from 1 species